GAGCCACCAUGCCCGUUACAAAUCUAUUUGUAACAGAUUUCACUUUCAGAAAAUUUCUCCAUAUAAUCCAAAUCGUUCAUUUUCCAGUACAGACCUCUUUCCUCUUAGCAUUCUGUUCUUGAUGACUUAGAAGUGUCUUUUCUCUUUAUAUCAUUUGCACGUCACUCCUUCCUGUCUCCGGCUUCUUCCCAGCCCUCCUCCUCCUUUGCACACAGGAAACCUCAUUCUGUGGUGUGAACAGGGGGAUUCCCAUCUUCCUGAAACGACUUAGUCUUGAGCUGCCUGUGCCCUUCCCAUCGCAGUGAAUGUUGCCAGUUGGGGAUGACUGGGCAGCCAUGGGGAAGGCAAGAAUUCAAUUCUGGGUCCUGAGCAGGGGUUGUCCUGGUCAACAAGCAACUUCAGUUCCUUGGGACAGGACCCCAGACUUGCUGGUAUGACGUCAUUGUUUCUUUACUGGAGGACAGCAGCGUGUUCCAGGAACGCAAUGCAGUAGAAAGCAACCACUUGGCCCUAGAGACCGAGACUGAUUUCUGGGAAAGAGGCAGCCAGGCUCCUCCGCCUUACGCAGGUCGUGAAGACUCAGUACACUGAGAUCGAAGGUCCUCAGUUCCUAGCUAAGCAAGCCUCCAAGGACUGUGACAUCCCAACCUUCAGACGAGGAUGGAGGCGGGAGGAGACACAGCACUGGCCAGGAGACCUGGGGUUGGGGCUCUGUCCCUGGUCUGGCUCAGCAAUCAGGGCAAGUGACUACCCUGGCUGAGGCCAGCUUUGUCGGCAGUGAAAUGGGUGAACGCUGCCUCUGCUUGAAUCAAGAGUUUGUCAGGAUGCUAUGGGAAAAUUAUAUGAAGGUUCUCUGUAACAUUUAAAAAAAAAAAGGCCUGUUGCAUAUUUGUCAGGGGCUGGACUUUCUGAGAGCAGGCAGACAGGGAACAGCUGAGCAUGCUUGAGGGCUCUGGUGUCUUCAGGGCCUCCGUCACCCGUGUGACACUGUCCUUGGCUCAGUGGGCUGUGGAGGCCCCAAGUGACGCUGUGAACAGCUGGCAAGAGACUUCCCCCGACUCUGCAGCCUCCCUGCGACUUCUCGUCCCUUGUGAAGGAAGGGGUGGCUGCCUGACCUGUUGGUCCUGGGCACUGUCCUGCUCCCCUGGUUGUGGAGCUGCCAGGAUGGCGGGACAAUCAACACAAUGCUCCCCUUCUUCUGUCGGGGACAUCUCCACAGAGAAGAAAAGAGUGUCUCCCUAGAGAGAAAUCCUGAUGUCUGAAACUUCGGCUGAGUGGAGGAGAAAGGAUAACUCAUCACAUUUCCUCAGAGCCAGGGCAGCAUGUAGGAGUUGCGUUUCGAGGGGAGGAUGAUCCAGGAGAGAAAGGGUGCGCACAGCACACCAGCUGUGCUAGGGCCGGGCCAGGCGGACCAUGGGGCUCUGGGGAGCCCAUUGCCCCCACCAGCAGCCUGCUGCUGUGUGCGCCUCCCCCCAGGUGCUCAGCUUGGCUUUGACCUAGCAGUUGCCGGGAGGGGCUGUGCAGAUGGAAUUAAGGUCCCCAUGAGCUGAUUGCAAGAUGGGAGACUGCUGGGGGCCUGAGUCCUUUAAGGCAGAGAGCUUUCUCCUGCAGGACCCGGAAGAAGACAUCAGUGUUCAAAGCACGAGAAAGAUCCAACCUGCCCUUGCCCCCGUGGAAAGAGGAGCCAGGUGUCAUGGAACAAGGGUGGCCUCUAGGAUUGACCCCGCUGACAGCCAGUGAGGAAAUGGGGACCCGAUUCCCACUCCACAGGAACUGAAUUCUGCCAACAAGGAGGAGCUGGGAAGUGGUGUUUUCUCCAGAGGUUUCCGAUGAGAACUCAGCCAGUUAGCACCUUGAUCUCUGCUGGGCGAGGUCUGUGCAGAGCCACAGCCAGGCAAUGUGACUUCUAACCUUCAGAAUCGGGAGCUAAUGAAGGCAUGGGGCUUAAACCACAAAAUGUGUGUGUGUGUGUGUGUGUGUGUGUAUGUAUGUUUUAAAGAACACUACAUAGCAAUAGAAAAUAAACAAACAUCCCCUCCAUUAAACUGCACAUUUAUUGAAAGGUCA